UUGAUGGGGUAAGGCUCCCUGUAGACGACAGGGUUGAUAGGCCGGAGAUGGAAGCCUAGUGAUGGGUGGAGUUGACCGGUACUAAUAGGCCGAGGGCUUGUCCAUA
rnacentral:rRNA from 2 species